rnacentral:lncRNA from 1 species
GCAAGGAGCCGCAGGGGAGCCUGGCCUGAGGAAGGGGGCGGGAGCAGCAAAGCCAUUUGUAUUGGGGGAGUGGCGCGCGCAGACCGGGCGCGUGCUGCCCAUCUGCUUCCAUCACUGCGUGCAAAACCAAGCCGUACCGCAACCCCGGAUCACUGCUAUUUUAUUACACGAGGUUUCACCAGAACGCUCCGUGUGUUUACGUGACGCCCGAUCUCGGUUCCGUUGCGCUCACAGAUCACCCCACAACGUCCGCUGCGCAUAAGUGCCCCGUCAGCAGCAAAUCCCGCCGUCUGCAGCGCACGGCCGCCCCGCCCAACAGCGCCCCGCCCCAGCAGGCAGAGGCGUGCGGCGUCACGAGGGCGGCCGCGAGGGCGCGCAUGCGCACGAGGCGGGGCUGACGAGCAGUGAGAGGGCGGGGAUAAAAGCACGUGCCGUAGAGAAGGCGUUUAUCGGUUCUUGCGAGGGAGGCAGCACGUGCGCGCCUUCUCAGUUUGUUCGGCGCCGUUAUGCUGUAGAGCGGCAGUUGUGGUCACGAGCGUGCAGUCGUGCGCGCCUGAGGAGGCUUGUGGUGAAGGCGAAGCGCUGUGUCUGCGCCCGCUGAGGUUAUUUCUGAGUUAUUCCACGCUUCACAACGUGUGCGCAGAGUUAAUUGCAGUAAAGGAAUGAGAGAAGAAAUAUAUGGAGUUUCGAUUUUAACGUGGUAUUUCCUGAGUGUAAGUAUGUGUUAUCUUUUUUUAAUCAGUCGAUGCUUUGCAUAAAUGUGAUGCUGAACAACACUGAAGGGCUGAGCCAUCCACGUCCUGAUAAAUCUGCUUCCAGUGCAAGUUGUGCCUGUACCUUUUGCAUACCUUUUAGGUGGCUGCUAUUCCCAUAUAAUACGUGAGCAUUUUCCUUUUAGUCACUGAUUAACUGCCUCCC